rnacentral:rRNA from 1 species
ACGGAAGGCAGCAGCUAAGAAUAUUCCGCAAUGGACGAAAGUCUGACGGAGCGACGCCGCGUGGAUGAUGAAGGUCGGAAGAUUGUAAAAUCCUUUUAAGCAUGAAGAAUAAGCAGAGUAGGUAAUGACUUUGUGGUGACGGUAGUGCUUGAAUAAGCAACGGCUAAUUACGUGCCAGCAGCCGCGGUAAUACGUAAGUUGCGAGCGUUGUUCGGAAUUAUUGGGCGUAAAGGGCAUGUAGGCGGAUAUGCAAGCUUGGUGUGAAAGGCGGGAGCUUAACUCCCGGACUGCGUUGAGAACUGCAUAACUAGAGUGACUGAGGGGCAGGCAGAAUUCCAGGUGUAGGGGUGAAAUCUGUAGAUAUCUGGAAGAACACCAAUGGCGAAGGCAGGCUGCUGGCAGAUGAUUGACGCUGAGGUACGAAAGUGCGGGGAGCAAACAGGAUUAGAUACCCUGGUA